CGCGGGCUCGCAGCUGUCAGCAGCCGGAGCCCGAGUGAGCGCGGGCUUGAGACCUGCUGAGCAGCGGGACCUGGCGGCUGGCGUUCUGGUGUGGGGCCGAGAACAGACCCUUCUUCUGAAAAGCCACUGGCCCCUUGUUCUAUGAAGAUCAUAGAAGUGUUCCUAUUAGGGAGAAUUCAGGCCGUCUCAAUGUCGAUUUCUCAUUGUCUUCACCAAUCUUCUGAACCCGUGAAUACUUUUUGCAUGAUGAUUUGAAGCAGCCAGGAGGCCAAGACAGCGGCCAGGAGAAGCAGCAAGGAAUUGAGCCUUGUACAUUUUUCUCAAAAAAAUAAAAGAUGGGGAACCACCAUGCUCGAGAUAAGAAAUUAGUCUGUGAAGAGACCUUCAAGUUCUGUAAAUGGUAG
rnacentral:lncRNA from 1 species